CAGGAAAUGCUCGACAUCAAGCACCAGCUCAGUUAGAACAAAGCGCUCAAGAACUAGAGACACCAAGUUCAGUUCUUCCUUAAAACAGAACAGGGCAAGGCAAAAAGGAGUUUAUGGGAACGAGUUUCGACCGCGGAAAUCCCUACCCGGCUCGGAGAAGGCGGUCAUAGGGAGAGCUCAAGACCAGUCGAGCUAUGGCCGACCGCUUCGCGAUGUCUCCGAGCCGAGUUCCUCG
rnacentral:lncRNA from 1 species